rnacentral:misc_RNA from 1 species
AACGCACAUUGCGCCUCUCUUUCGAGAGGCAUGCCUGUCCGAGCGUCAUUUCUGCCCUCCAGCGCGGCUGGGUCUUGGGCGCUGUCCCCCCCGGGGGACACGCCCCAAAGGCAGUGGCGACGCCGCGUCGAGUCCUCGAGCGUAUGGAGCUUUGGUCACCUGCUCGGGAGGGAUUCGCCGGCUUCGGUCUUCCCCGAUGGGCCCCGUACAGGGGCCGAUCUUUCCGGUUGACCUCGGAUCAGGUAGGGCUACCCGCUGAACUUAA